UUACAAUCAUCUCAACCAUUUGCAGUUGCUCCUCCGUCUUUUCCGCGUCCGUCGCAUUCACCUCAGGUUCUUCCCAACUUAUUCGUUCCUGUAUUUGUAUAAGAUAUACAUACACGAGCCUUUAGAUUUUUCUAUGUAAUCUCUGGCCCUUUAGGUUGUUUCUAUAUAAUCUCUGGCCCUUUUAAUAUAUAUAUGAGUAUAUAUAUGACAGUUCCACAUGAUUCUGUCUUCCUUUUAAUGAACCUUUACAUUUGGUAUAUAUACAUGAUCUAUAUAUAUGAACCUUUAGAUUUGGUAUAUGAUAUAUAUACAAGAACUUUUAGAUUUGGUGUUGAAUAUUAUUCUUUAUUGGAUUCAUAAAUCCCCCCUUCUGGGGAGUACCCCAUGGUUUUACUAAUACCUCAUAAAUUCACUGUCAUUGUCUUCUGGACUUUGUACCAACAAAAAUUAUUGGUCGUCUCGAUGCCCUUCCAUUUGGGCUUUAGAUAGGGUAUAUGUUCAGAUACAUGUAUUAAACCAACUCCACAAACGGUUCGUAUAUGUAUUCAACCAACUCCACAAACGGUUCAUAUCUAUAAUAUUUACCAAUAUAUUAACGAUCUGAUUAAGAUUGAAAAUUGUUUCCAUACGGCAUCAUACAUUUUGCUCCUGCUGUUUCUGAAUGGAAUUUUCCCCUGUUUUCGUAGUUUCACAUAUUUUGUUUAUAUGCAACGGCCUCAGCUACAAACGAGGGCCCCAUCGGCUGAUCACCGUUCGGUAGCCCAACGAGCUAGAAGAGCAAGGGAGGCUCUUUCCCGAGUUUCCCCUGUUGUUGCUGCCCCUCUUGCUUCCUCUGCGCUUGGUUCGGAAUCUGCUGUCCUUCAGAAUCUUCCGAG
rnacentral:lncRNA from 1 species